rnacentral:rRNA from 1 species
GCAGCAGGCGCGAAAACUUUACAAUGCAGGAAACUGUGAUAAGGGAACCCCGAGUGCCUGUAUGGACAGGCUGUUCAGGUGCGCAAAAAACACCUGGAGAAAGGGCCGGGCAAGACCGGUGCCAGCCGCCGCGGUAAUACCGGCGGCUCGAGUGGUGGCCACUAUUACUGGGCUUAAAGCGUCCGUAGCUGGGUAGUUAAGUCUCUGGGGAAAUCUUCCGGCUCAACCGGAAGGCGUCUCAGGGAUACUGGUUACCUUGGGAUCGGGAGAGGUGAGAGGUACUCUGGGGGUAGGAGUGAAAUCCUGUAAUCC